rnacentral:rRNA from 1 species
UACGUAGGGGGCAAGCGUUGUCCGGAAUCAUUGGGCGUAAAGAGCGUGUAGGCGGCCCGGUCAGUCCGCUGUGAAAGUCCAGGGCUCAACCCUGGGAUGCCGGUGGAUACUGUCGGGCUCGAGUCCGGAAGAGGAGUGUGGAAUUCCUGGUGUAGCGGUGAAAUGCGCAGAUAUCAGGAGGAACACCAAUGGCGAAGGCAGCACUCUGGGACGUGACUGACGCUGAGACGCGAAAGCGUGGGGAGCAAACAGG